rnacentral:rRNA from 1 species
UACGUAGGGCGCAAGCGUUGUUCGGAAUUACUGGGCGUAAAGCGCACGUAGGCGGAUUCUUAAGUCUGGGGUGAAAGCCCGGAGCUCAACUCCGGAACUGCCUUGGAUACUGGGAGUCUCGAGGAUGGAAGAGGUCAGUGGAAUGCCGAGUGUAGAGGUGAAAUUCGUAGAUAUUCGGCGGAACACCAGUGGCGAAGGCGACUGGCUGGUCCAUUUCUGACGCUGAGGUGCGAAAGUGUGGGGAGCAAACAGG